ACCUAGGCGGCGAUACAUAGCCGACCUGAGAGGGUGAUCGGCCACACUGGGACUGAGACACGGCCCAGACUCCUACGGGAGGCAGCAGUAGGGAAUCUUCGGCAAUGGGGGCAACCCUGACCGAGCAACGCCGCGUGAGUGAAGAAGGUUUUCGGAUCGUAAAGCUCUGUUGUAAGUCAAGAACGGGUGUGAGAGUGGAAAGUUCACACUGUGACGGUAGCUUACCAGAAAGGGACGGCUAACUACGUGCCAGCAGCCGCGGUAAUACGUAGGUCCCGAGCGUUGUCCGGAUUUAUUGGGCGUAAAGCGAGCGCAGGCGGUUUGAUAAGUCUGAAGUUAAAGGCUGUGGCUCAACCAUAGUUCGCUUUGGAAACUGUCAAACUUGAGUGCAGAAGGGGAGAGUGGAAUUCCAUGUGUAGCGGUGAAAUGCGUAGAUAUAUGGAGGAACACCGGUGGCGAAAGCGGCUCUCUGGUCUGUAACUGACGCUGAGGCUCGAAAGCGUGGGGAGCGAACAGGAUUAGAUACCCUGGUAGUCCACGCCGUAAACGAUGAGUGCUAGGUGUUGGAUCCUUUCCGGGAUUCAGUGCCGCAGCUAACGCAUUAAGCACUCCGCCUGGGGAGUACGACCGCAAGGUUGAAACUCAAAGGAAUUGACGGGGGCCCGCACAAGCAGCGGAGCAUGUGGUUUAAUUCGACGCAACGCGAAGAACCUUACCAGGUCUUGACAUCCACUUAAACUUACAGAGAUGUAAGGUGUGCUUGCACAAAGUGAGACAGGUGGUGCAUGGUUGUCGUCAGCUCGUGUCGUGAGAUGUUGGGUUAAGUCCCGCAACGAGCGCAACCCUUAUCUUCAGUUACUAACGCGUAAAGGUGAGGACUCUGAAGAGACUGCCGGGGACAACUCGGAGGAAGGUGGGGACGACGUCAAAUCAUCAUGCCCCUUAUGACCUGGGCUACACACGUGCUACAAUGGCCACGACAGAGAGAAGCGAAAUCGCAAGGUAGAGCGGAACUCAAAAAAGUGGUCCCAGUUCGGAUUGUGGGCUGCAACCCGCCCACAUGAAGUCGGAGUUGCUAGUAAUCGCGGAUCAGCAUGCCGCGGUGAAUACGUUCCCGGGCCUUGUACACACCGCCCGUCACACCAUGGGAGUUGGGAGUGCCCAAAGCCGGUGAGGCAACCGCAAGGAGCCAGCCGUCUAAGGCAAGACCAAUGACUGGGGUGAAGUCGUAACAAGGUA
rnacentral:rRNA from 1 species